rnacentral:rRNA from 1 species
GACGAACGCUGGCGGCGUGCUUAACACAUGCAAGUCGAACGGAAAGGCCCUGCUUUUGUGGGGUGCUCGACUGGCGAACGGGUGAGUAACACGUGAGUAACCUGCCCUUGACUUUGGGAUAACUUCAGGAAACUGGGGCUAAUACCGGAUAGGAGCUCCUGCUGCAUGGUGGGGGUUGGAAAGUUUCGGCGGUUGGGGAUGGACUCGCGGCUUAUCAGCUUGUUGGUGGGGUAGUGGCUUACCAAGGCUUUGACGGGUAGCCGGCCUGAGAGGGUGACCGGCCACAUUGGGACUGAGAUACGGCCCAGACUCCUACGGGAGGCAGCAGUGGGGAAUAUUGCACAAUGGGCGGAAGCCUGAUGCAGCAACGCCGCGUGCGGGAUGACGGCCUUCGGGUUGUAAACCGCUUUCGCCUGUGACGAAGCGUGAGUGACGGUAAUGGGUAAAGAAGCACCGGCUAACUACGUGCCAGCAGCCGCGGUGAUACGUAGGGUGCGAGCGUUGUCCGGAUUUAUUGGGCGUAAAGGGCUCGUAGGUGGUUGAUCGCGUCGGAAGUGUAAUCUUGGGGCUUAACCCUGAGCGUGCUUUCGAUACGGGUUGACUUGAGGAAGGUAGGGGAGAAUGGAAUUCCUGGUGGAGCGGUGGAAUGCGCAGAUAUCAGGAGGAACACCAGUGGCGAAGGCGGUUCUCUGGGCCUUUCCUGACGCUGAGGAGCGAAAGCGUGGGGAGCGAACAGGCUUAGAUACCCUGGUAGUCCACGCUGUAAACGGUGGGUACUAGGUGUGGGGUCCAUUCCACGGGUUCCGUGCCGUAGCUAACGCUUUAAGUACCCCGCCUGGGGAGUACGGCCGCAAGGCUAAAACUCAAAGGAAUUGACGGGGCCCCGCACAAGCGGCGGAGCAUGCGGAUUAAUUCGAUGCAACGCGUAGAACCUUACCUGGGUUUGACAUGGAUCGGGAGUGCUCAGAGAUGGGUGUGCCUCUUUUGGGGUCGGUUCACAGGUGGUGCAUGGCUGUCGUCAGCUCGUGUCGUGAGAUGUUGGGUUAAGUCCCGCAACGAGCGCAACCCUUGUUCACUGUUGCCAGCACGUUAUGGUGGGGACUCAGUGGAGACCGCCGGGGUCAACUCGGAGGAAGGUGGGGAUGACGUCAAGUCAUCAUGCCCCUUAUGUCCAGGGCUUCACGCAUGCUACAAUGGCUGGUACAGAGAGUGGCGAGCCUGUGAGGGUGAGCGAAUCUCGGAAAGCCGGUCUCAGUUCGGAUUGGGGUCUGCAACUCGACCUCAUGAAGUCGGAGUCGCUAGUAAUCGCAGAUCAGCAACGCUGCGGUGAAUACGUUCCCGGGGCU